CCGAAUGGACGUCGACCGGCGCACGGGUGAGUAACGCGUAUCCAACCUUCCCAUAACUAAGGAAUAACCUGCCGAAAGGCAGACUAAUACCUUAUGUAAUCCUUUGAUGGCAUCAGAUAAGGAUAAAAGAUUUAUCGGUUAUGGAUGGGGAUGCGUCUGAUUAGCUUGUUGGCGGGGUAACGGCCCACCAAGGCAACGAUCAGUAGGGGUUCUGAGAGGAAGGUCCCCCACAUUGGAACUGAGACACGGUCCAA
rnacentral:rRNA from 1 species